AGAUUCAAAGUCAUAAUUAUAAGAUUCAAAGUCAUAAUUAUGAGAUUCAAAGUCAUAAUUUCGACUUUUCCAAAAAAGCAGACAUGCUGUCUUGUGUGAGAUUUACACAGUAUUCCAUUUGAUCUGUCUAACCAAGAAAACACAGAUUUUUCUCCCUUUAAUGGAUUAUAAACAAAUUGAGGAGUAUUUCAGAUGUGGUUUAACCAAUGAUGAAAUUCUUGCUUUGCUUGCUGAGGUUCAUGGGCUUAUUCUUAGCAAGAGGACACUAGAAAGGAUUCUUAAUAAGAAGAAACUUUGGCGCCGAAAGAACAAAACUGAUGUGAGUGUAGUGGCAGCUUUCAUUCGUCAGCAACUUGAAACCUCUGGACAAUGUCACGGAUAUCGAUGGAUGCACCAAAAAUGCUGGAUGAAUGGUAUUGUUACAGACAGGGAAACAGUUCGAGUCCUUUUACGCUUACUAGAUGGUGAAGGAGUAGACCUAAGGUCAAGAAAUCGACUGAGGAGACGGAUUUACUAUAGUCGUGGUCCAAACUAUGUUUGGCAUAUGGACGGCUAUGAUAAGCUCAAACCAUUUGGAAUUGGGAUCAAUGGUUGCAUUGACGGAUUUUCCAGAAGGCUAAUAUGGCUUGAGGCAUACAAAACAAAUAACGACCCAAGAGUCAUUGCUGGAUACUUCAUGGAUGCAGUGAUUAAAGCUGAGGGUUGUCCUGAAAGACUUAGAGUGGAUUUAGGGACAGAAAAUGUUAAUGCAGCUGACAUGCAAAGAUAUUUGCAUCUUACAGAAGAUCAACCUGAAAGUGAUAAUGUAAUAUUUGGUCCAAGCACUGGAAAUCAGCGGAUUGAGAGAUGGUGAUUGACCCUGCGAAGUGAAUGUAUCCAGUUCUGGAUGGACCUCUUUGACAAACUGAAAGCAGAUGGACACUUCUCAGAUAACUUCUUGGACAAAGCCUUGAUCCAGUUCUGUUUUCUCCACAUAAUACAGAAAGAACUAAAUGAAGUUGUUUCAGCUUGGAACCACCACAGGAUACGUCCAGCACACAAUUCACGAAGUCCUCAUGGGCGACCAUUCAUGAUGUACACAGUACCUCAGGCGUAUGGAACCAGAGACUAUCUACACAGCAUUGAUCUGAACAGGGUUGAAGCCUGCUUGGAAAACUGUGUUUUCAAAGACUUUCCAUGCGAUGAAGAUGUCUUCAGUAUCUGUGUGGACCUGAUUUCAGAGCAUAACCUGGAUGUCACAGAUGAUGUGUUUGCAACAACUGAUCUAUACAUAAGACUCAGACAGCUGAUUACCAGAGAUUUGGAGCUGCAUUGAUAAAUGUAAAAACAUUUUUGUUGCGUUGACAGUUUGCUACCUCGUCCCUAAUUUGGACUUCAGUAGAUAUUUGAUGACAUUCUGAGAGUGGCAGCAUUUGCUUCAACACAUUGUUGCACCAGUAUAAAGAUGGGUCAAAGCCAUUCACAAGCUCUAUAACUAAGCAAGAAGAGAUACUAAAAUAAGAUAAAUCAUGCUGAGCUGAUAAAAUAAGUCUGACAUUAGAAAAAUAUAUUGAUGCAUUGGACAGAUGAUUUUUGGUUUUGAUAUUUUCCCUUUAUUAUCAAUAUCAUUGCAUUACAGUUUGAACAUUAUGCUGAUUAUUAAACAGGAAAUAAAGGAAUUGAGAACUGCUGUAGAAACCUCAUUAUUUUUCAGGUGUGCAACCCAAUGCUGGCUUAAAGCUUCCCCCACCCCAAAUAAAUCACACAUAUAAACUGGAAAAAGCGGUUUAUUGAACUUCAAAAUUAAAGUCUCUACUUAACCAUUAGAGAAGCCUUUGAGUGUUUUAAAAUAAUACUUUAAGAUAAUGACAAUGCUUCAAGGUGUAAAAAAAAAAAGAAAAAUGUUCUUUUUCAGUUGUUUUCUGGUUAAAUCUGAUAUUGAGCUACUACAAUGGCACCAAUCUGUUACUGAAAAUAUUUUAAGGUUAUGUUUACUUAAAACAAAAAUAUAAAUAAAAUGCUGAGUAAACAAAAGAAAUUUUUUCAGGAAUAAGGUUAAAUGAAACACUUUACUCCAUUUCUUCCAGAACUGCAUUCAAACAGAGUAGCAACAUGUUCAUCCACUGAACAUUUAAAUUAUGUGACUAAUAUAAGAAACAAAACAUCAGAAAUUAUUCAUAAAUUAUUUAUGCAACUAAGAGCUGCUUGUUUACAAGCGCGGCGGCCAUAUUGUAUUUUUAAUUGUGGAACAAACCAGCUUUUGCAGCCUCAAGUAAAAUUAAAAGUAAAAAAAUUCUAGUAACAAUAUAAAAUAUUUAAAUUUAAUAAACCCAAAAUAUUGAGAAAAUACAUUUUACUGCCAACUUAAAUUUAUGCUUUAAACUUCAACUCUGGAGUACUUUAACAGAAA